GAUGAACGCUGGCGGCGUGCCUAAUACAUGCAAGUCGAGCGAACGGACGAGAAGCUUGCUUCUCUGAUGUUAGCGGCGGACGGGUGAGUAACACGUGGAUAACCUACCUAUAAGACUGGGAUAACUUCGGGAAACCGGAGCUCAUACCGGAUAAUAUUUUGAACCGCAUGGUUCAAAAGUGAAAGACGGUCUUGCUGUCACUUAUAGAUGGAUCCGCGCUGCAUUUGCUAGUUGGUAAGGUAACGGCUUACCAAGGCGACGAUGCGUAGCCGACCUGAGAGGAUGAUCAGCCACACUGGAACUGAGACACGGUCCAGACUCCUACGGGAGGCAGCAGUGGGGAAUCUUGCGCAAUGGGCGAAAGCCUGACGGAGCAACGCCGCGUGAGUGAAGAAGGUCUUCGGAUCGUAAAACUCUGUUAUUAGGGAAGAAAAGAUGUGGAAGUAACUGUGCACAUCUUGACGGUACCUAAUCAGAAAGCCACGGCUAACUACGUG
rnacentral:rRNA from 1 species